rnacentral:lncRNA from 1 species
UCUUGCGUGUGGCUCAAAAGCUGUUUUUUGCAUGUUGUCUGUCCUCCAGAUUUUGGCCUCGAUCGCAACUGUGACGAGAAUCUGUGCCAGCAUAAGUGCACGAACCUUAAUGGCACAGGCUUCAUCUGCUCCUGCAGGCCCGGAUACACAGUGGACCCAGACAGCACCUACACCUGCCUGGACAUCAAUGAGUGCGAGGUGUACGGCACCUGUCCUCAGGUCUGUAAGAACACCAAAGGCGGCUACGACUGUGAGUGUGCCCCCGGCUACAGGAAGGUGGGCAACGGCAAAAUGUGCGAGGCUGCGGGAGCAGCUCCCAUGCUGCUUCUACCGGAGAACAUUCGUAUCCGGAGGUUCAACCUGCAGACAGAGGGCUACCAUGACUUCAUCGAAGAACAGGAGCACAUCAUGGCUCUCGACUACGACUGGGACCACAACAACACAGGAUUCAGUAUGGUGUAUUUCACUGUUGCUGGUAAAGACGCUAUACCAGGCGCCAUUAAGAGAGCGUACAUACCAUCAGUGGACGACGGCAGUAAUAAUAUCGGUGCUGCUGUUGAUCUCGGCAUCAAAUACA